UACGUAGGGUGCAGGCGUUAAUCGGAAUUACUGGGCGUAAAGCGUGCGCAGGCGGUUUGCUAAGACAGGUGUGAAAUCCCCGGGCUUAACCUGGGAACUGCGCUUGUUACUGGCAAGCUGGAGUGUGGCAGAGGGGGGUGGAAUUCCACGUGUAGCAGUGAAAUGCGUAGAGAUGUGGAGGAACACCGAUGGCGAAGGCAGCCCCCUGGGCUAACACUGACGCCCAUGCACGAAAGCGUGGGGAGCAAACAGG
rnacentral:rRNA from 1 species